AUUGAACGCUGGCGGCAUGCCUUACACAUGCAAGUCGAACGGCAGCACGGGUGCUUGCACCUGGUGGCGAGUGGCGCACGGGUGAGUAAUACAUCGGCACAUGUCCUGUAGUGGGGGAUAGCCCGGCGAAAGCCGGAUUAAUACCGCAUACGAUCCACGGAUGAAAGCGGGGGACCUUCGGGCCUCGCGCUAUAGGGUUGGCCGAUGGCUGAUUAGCUAGUUGGUGGGGUAAAGGCCUACCAAGGCGACGAUCAGUAGCUGGUCUGAGAGGACGACCAGCCACACUGGAACUGAGACACGGCCCAGACUCCUACGGGAGGCAGCAGUGGGGAAUUUUGGACAAUGGGCGAAAGCCUGAUCCAGCAAUGCCGCGUGUGUGAAGAAGGCCUUCGGGUUGUAAAGCACUUUUGUCCGGAAAGAAAUGCUUGACCCUAAUACAGUCGGGGGAUGACGGUACCGGAAGAAUAAGCACCGGCUAACUACGUG
rnacentral:rRNA from 1 species